UGGGGAAUAUUGCACAAUGGGCGCAAGCCUGAUGCAGCCAUGCCGCGUGUGUGAAGAAGGCCUUCGGGUUGUAAAGCACUUUCAGCGAGGAGGAAGGUGGUGAGCUUAAUACGCUCAUCAAUUGACGUUACUCGCAGAAGAAGCACCGGCUAACUCCGUGCCAGCAGCCGCGGUAAUACGGAGGGUGCAAGCGUUAAUCGGAAUUACUGGGCGUAAAGCGCACGCAGGCGGUUUGUUAAGUCAGAUGUGAAAUCCCCGGGCUCAACCUGGGGACUGCAUUUGAAACUGGCAAGCUAGAGUCUCGUAGAGGGGGGUAGAAUUCCAGGUGUAGCGGUGAAAUGCGUAGAGAUCUGGAGGGAUACCGGUGGCGAAGGCGGCCCCCCUGGACGAAGACUGACGCUCAGGUGCGAAAGCGUGGGGCAGCAAACAGGAUUAGAUACCCUGGUAGUCCAGCGCUGUAAAACGAUGUCGAUUUGGAGGUUGUGCCCUUGAGGCGUGGCUUCCGGAGCUAACGCGUUAAAUCGACCGCCUGGGGAGUACGGCCGCAAGGUUAAAACUUAAAUGAAUUGACGGGGUC
rnacentral:rRNA from 1 species